UACGAAGGGGGCUAGCGUUGUUCGGAAUUACUGGGCGUAAAGCGCACGUAGGCGGAUAUUUAAGUCAGGGGUGAAAUCCCAGAGCUCAACUCUGGAACUGCCUUUGAUACUGGGUAUCUUGAGUAUGGAAGAGGUGAGUGGAAUUCCGAGUGUAGAGGUGAAAUUCGUAGAUAUUCGGAGGAACACCAGUGGCGAAGGCGGCUCACUGGUCCAUUACUGACGCUGAGGUGUGAAAGCGUGGGGAGCAAACAGG
rnacentral:rRNA from 1 species